CAACCCUCGAACCCCUCCGGGGGGUCGGCGUUGGGGAUCGGCACGCCCUCACACGGGUGCCGGCCCCGAAAUCCAGUGGCGGUCUCGCCGCAGCCUCUCCUGCGCAGUAGUUUGCACACUCGCACCGGGAGCGCGGCGCGGCCACAGCCGUAAAACACCCCAAACUUCUGAAA
rnacentral:misc_RNA from 1 species